rnacentral:rRNA from 1 species
UACAGAGGUGGCAAGCGUUGUUCGGAAUUACUGGGCGUAAAGAGCACGUAGGUGGAUUUGUAAGUCAGAUGUGAAAGCCUUCUGUUCAACGGAAGAAUUGCAUCUGAAACUGUAAACCUUGAGUGUAGGAGGGGAGAAUGGAACUUCUGGUGGAGCGGUGAAAUGCGUAGAUAUCAGAAGGAACGCCGGCGGCGAAAGCGAUUCUCUAGCCUAUAACUGACACUGAGUGUGCGAAAGCUAGGGGAGCAAACGGG